CUUGAAACACGGACCAAGGAGUUCAACAUAUGCGCAGGUCGUUGAGUGUCUGGUAUACUCGAAGGCCUAGUGAAAGCAAGCUACAUCAUUAGGUGGUGUAAUAGCGGCGAGAUCCUGGUGCCUCGUGCAUUAGGCGCAUCGCCGACCCGUUUAAUGGCCACGCGCCAUGGACGGAGUUAGAGCGCAUACGCUGAGACCCGAAAGAUGGUGAACUAUGCCUGGGCAGGAUGAAGCCAGAGGAAACUCUGGUGGAAGUCCGUAGCGAUUCUGACGUGCAAAUCGAUCGUCUGACCUGGGUAUAGGGGCGAAAGACUAAUCGAACCAUCUAAUAGCUGGUUCCCUCCGAAGUUUCCCUCAGGAUAGCUGGUGCUCGAUUUUAAGCAGUCUCUCCCGGUAAAGCGAAUGAUUAGAGGCCUUGGGACCGAAACGGUCUCAACCUAUUCUCAAACUUUAAAUGGGUGAGAAGUCCGGCUUACUUGAUUUGAAGUCUGGACCAUAGUUUGGAUGCAUGAGUGCCUAGUGGGCCAUUUUUGGUAAGCAGAACUGGCGCUGUGGGAUGAACCGAACGUUGAGUUACGGCGCCUGAUUAUAGACGCUCAUCAGAUACCACAAAAGGUGUUGGUUGCUAUAGACAGCAGGACGGUGGCCAUGGAAGUCGGAACCCGCUAAGGAGUGUGUAACAACUCACCUGCCGAAGCAACUAGCCCUGAAAAUGGAUGGCGCUAGAGCGUUUAGCCUAUACUCAACCGUUGAAGCACAUGCGGCGGUAAGCAAUUACCGUUUUUCAUGCUUUAUGGCAUACGCAUGCUAGUCAUGCUUCAACGAGUACGAAGGUCGCGGCGAUAUGCUUUGAAAGCUUAGCGGCGUGAGCCGGGCUGGAGCUGUCGUCGGUGCAAAUCUUGGUGGUAGUAGCAAAUACUCAAGCGAGAACCUUGAGGACUGAAGUGAAGAAGGCUUCCAUGUGAACAGCAGUUGAACAUGGGUCAGUCGAUCCUAAGACAUCGGCGAAGGCCGUUCAGAAGCGGUGUCGGUUAUGUGACAGUGUGCUGUUUCGGCAGUAUACUGUCCGGCUAUAGGCGCUCGUUCGUUUAUAGUCGCCGCACCUGUCAAAAGGGAAUUGGAUUAAUAUUUCCAAACCUAACAGCGGAGAUUGGUUGCUCAUUUGGCUGCACGGGCCUUGUGCUCGUUGUAGUCGGGGCAACGCGCUGCGGUAACGCAAACGAACUCGAACACGCUGACUGGAGUCCCGGGAAGAGUUGUCUUUUCUUCAUAAGGAGUCGACUCCAUGGAAUUGGUUCAGCCAGAGAUAUGGAGAUGGCGUCCGAAAAGCAUUGCGCUUCUUGCAAUGUCCGGUGCGCUUCAAGCGGCCCAUGAAAAUUCGAGGGAGAGAAUGAUUUUCGUGUUAGAUCGUACCCAUAUCCGCAGCAGGUCUCC
rnacentral:rRNA from 1 species